CAACCUACGGGGGGCAGCAGUGGGGAAUAUUGCACAAUGGGGGAAACCCUGAUGCAGCGACGCCGCGUGGGUGACGAAGUAUUUCGGUAUGUAAAGCCCUAUCAGCAGGGAAGAAGAUGACAGUACCUGACUAAGAAGCCCCGGCUAACUACGUGCCAGCAGCCGCGGUAAUACGUAGGGGGCAAGCGUUAUCCGGAUUCACUGGGCGUAAAGGGAGCGCAGGCGGCACGGCAAGUCUGAUGUGAAAACCCGGGGCUCAACCCCGGGACUGCAUUGGAAACUGCCGGGCUGGAGUGUCGGAGGGG
rnacentral:rRNA from 1 species